rnacentral:rRNA from 1 species
GACGUAGGGUGCAAGCGUUGUCCGGAAUUAUUGGGCGUAAAGAGCUCGUAGGCGGUUUGUCGCGUCGACUGUGAAAACCUGGGGCUUAACUCUGGGCCUGCAGUCGAUACGGGCAGACUUGAGUUCGGUAGGGGAGACUGGAAUUCCUGGUGUAGCGGUGAAAUGCGCAGAUAUCAGGAGGAACACCGAUGGCGAAGGCAGGUCUCUGGGCCACUACUGACGCUGAGAAGCGAAAGCAUGGGGAGCGAACAGG